GCAGCUGGGCAAAAGUUUACAGCGUGAGCUGGGGCCGCUGCCCGGGACAGCCCGGCCUCCCGCCUGCCGGCGCCCGCUGCCCCAGCGCCCACGCUUCUGCAUCGGCCACAUCUGCGGGGCUAUGGGCUCUGCUCCGCGCUCCUGUGCGCUCCGCUUAGCCGCCAUCUGCCCGCAAGUCCAGGGGCUGUUUAAAGCCUCCGGCCUGCGACCCGCUGCCUUCGGUGCAUGUGUCAAACUCCAGCCGCCGGCUCAGGGCAGUGCCAGGCAGCGCAAAACCCGGAGCUGGCGGGCCCGGGGGCUGAAGCCGCUCCUCCGCGCCCUAAGGGGAGACCCAGCGUGGUUUCAAAUAAAUAAUACUCGCGUCGUGGGCUCAGGAGCAGCGACUCCAAAGCCCCCGUCCUGUCAACCGCGCUUUCGGGGCAUUCGCCGCACAGAAGCCUUCCCUUUAACGGGUCCGCUCCCCUCCCUGCACAAAGUCUGAGAUUGCUCCGUGGUGGGGGAUCGAUAUGGAGCGGAUCGAAAGUGAGGCCUGGAAAGACCCAGGGCAGGUGCAACAUUCCGUGGGGAACGAAACGGGGCUUUCGGUGGUGGCGAGAUCUUUACCCGCCCCUGGGGUGAGUGAAAUCCAGCAACUGGUGGGUUUAACAGCUGGGAGGAGCUCGUUCUUUAUUUUGACACAAUAUACAUUUUAUACACGGAGCAUACAGUGGAAAAUGAGACUGGACCGGAGGGAAAAGCAGAAGGCGGGGGAUCCUAAAUGCGGAAAGAAAUAAAGAAUUCAAAGGAGGAGAAAGAUUCAAAAAGGAAGAUGAGAGAAACGAAGAGAAGAGGAAAUAGGAACCAGAGGCCAGUAGAGGCUGGGAGCACUAUGGAGGCAGCAUGAGGAGGCGUUGCUGGCAGGGCACAACUAACGUCUCUGACAUGACCUCUAUAGCCAAGCAAGGAGCAGCACUGAGGGUCUCCAAAGAGCCCAUCCCAUGCCAAGGAAAGUCACCACCAGGGUAGAAUCAGAGGCAAGCAAUUCACUAUGAUUUACAGAUGACUUGUGCUGGAUGAAGCAUACAGGGAAAUGGUGAGAGUGCUGGUGGCAGAAGUCUUGAGGUGGAUCUGAUUAGCUGCAGCAUGUAAUCUCAGCUGUCUUUGAUAUCUCUAACCAUGAAGUUUUGUUGGGGACUUCUUCAGUAACUAACAAGAAUGGACAGGAUUGCUCUUGAAUGGUUUCAUUGGGAGCCAUCUUGGGAGAUCCAAAAGGGUUGUUUGGGACAAUUAUUCUGUCCCAAAAGCUCUCUCCUAUAUGACUUGGUAUAAUCACCUUUCCUGUUCAGCAUUGAUAACAGGCUGUUAGGAGAAUUAGUGAGGAAACAUGGGCUGCAAUAUGUUCAGUAUGCCGAGGAUACUCCAGCACAUUGGAUCUGACUGGUACAGAGGAACCAAUAACUCAGAUUCAGAGUCUGAAUGGUGCUGAGUUGGCUCAGGCUUAAUUCAGAUAAGACUGAAGUAGUAUUAGGGGAAACAAUCAGAAGUGGCAAUGGAAAUAACCACACCUUUAUUUGGGGCAUUCACAGAUCAGGUUCCAAUUCCUGGAGUAUAGGAUCAGAUGUUAUUAGAUGAUCAAACAACAGUUGUACCCAGAAAGGUUCUUUUUCCCCCUCCUUGAACAUCUGACCAGAAGAAUGUGGCCUUUUUUCUUUGGUGAAGACCUGGCUUCCAUCAUCCACACCUUUGUCACUUCAAAAGUGGACUGCUGUUACACAGCACAUGUAGAUUGCAUAUUGGGAUCACUUGGAGGUGCAAGCUAAUGCAGAAAGUGUAUCAUACAAGAAGUCUGUAACAUGGAUGCCUCUGGGUGCUGCACUGUCUCAUGAUAGGUUUCUGAAUGGAGUUCUAGGAUCUGGUCUUAUCCCUGAAUGGUUUGGAAACCAUUAUCUGAGGGACUGCUUCUCUCGCUGGGCCAUACAGACAUAGCUAAGAUCACUGGAGGCCCUACAAGCUAGAGCAGGUAUUCUUUGUGAGGAGACUUGACUCUGGAAUUCUGUUCCUUCCUUGAUUUGUUAACUUUCAGAGUACACGGAAAGGCUUAUUUUUCCUAGCAGGCAUUUUAGGGCUAUUGCAUGUCCAUCGGUGAGGGGACUGGAGACUGUAUGAUGAUUUAGGAGGGGCCUCAUGAUACGUUUGGGUACAAUAGCUCAAGUUAUUGUGAGAGUAUUGAUUAGACCUUUGAAACUGGAAAAAAUUGAUGAGUUGGAUAACUGUAGAUUUUUAAUUGUGUGUUAAGUAUUGGGAGGGGCUUAGACUUCUGCAUAGAAAAUAGGACAAAAUAUCCUUAAUUAAAUAAUAAAUGCUACCAAUAAACUUUAGUGUAUUUUUCCCAGUGGUGCUGCUUUCCCCUACUUGGUCAUAGGUAUGAGACAGCAUUUUUGCCUAAAUGGGAAAAUUAGUUAGAUCAAAUCACUCUCAUUUCUUCUCCAAGCUGUUAUAUGAACCCCUGGUGCUGGGGUUAUAUCACAAGAUAAAUGGGGAGGGGACCCUUGUUAAAACAAUGACAGCACAUUGCAGGGUAGGGGAGAGCUUGAGCUGGGCUGGGGAGGAAGAGGAGAAAGGGAGCAAGGAGAAAAGGAAGUACUGAGAAUAAGAGUCACCAGCUUCAGAGAUUUGGAGUGGGGGUUUAAUCCAGAUUAGAGAAUGAUGUGUAAUCCAGAAGAAACAAGCAGAGCU